GAAAUGCGAUAAGUAAUGUGAAUUGCAGAAUUCAGUGAAUCAUCGAAUCUUUGAACGCACAUUGCGCUCGCCAGUACUCUGGCGGGCAUGCCUGUUCGAGCGUCAUUUCGACCAUCAAGCCCCGGGCUUGUGUUGGGGACCUGCGGCUGCCCGCAGGCCCUGAAAACCAGUGGCGGGCUCGCUGUCACCCCGAGCGUAGUAGUAUCACCUCGCCCAGGGCGUGCUGCGGGUUCCGGCCGUUAAAGCACCCAUUACCCCAAGGUUGACCUCGGAUCAGGUAGGAAUACCCGCUGAACUUAAGC
rnacentral:misc_RNA from 1 species